rnacentral:lncRNA from 1 species
CCCCUCUGAAUUGGGAAUGGCUGGCAUAGGAGCAGCCCCAGGAGGGUAAGGUCAGGACCACGCAGAUGUGACUGCUGCUCUGCUUGCCCCGCAGUGAUAAGGGCACAGCUGUGGGAAAGCCAGAGCAUCUGCUGUGAGUCACCAAGUGCAAACAGGAUGAUAACAGAGUUAGGCUCAGAAAAAAACAUCCCUUCGGAGACACAGAAGGCAGCACACCACAGAACACUGGCUCCUUUCUACAGAAAAAGGAAACCAAGCAAAGUUCCUUCAGCAAGGCAACAAGAAGCCAGUGAAGACUACGAAUGAAAAAUGAUUUGAUCAUAUUUUCCAUUUAUAAGUUCUGCGGCCAGUUCAUAGGACUCCAGGGACCUUGAGACUGAAGCACAUUCUACAAAUAAAGUCAAAUGCAGAAGUCAAAAGAACAGAGACCCAUGCAGCCACUGGCUCGUCUGCCUGUUAAUUCCAAUCUGUCUCAAAUAAUGCUAUUCACCCAGAGUCUUUGCAUAACAAUGAGGAAAGAAGACACAAGGGUACAACACCACCAUCAUCUAUCCACUGAGUCAGCAGAGUCACUGUGGAUGGCAUCUACCUUAUUUACGAAGAAACCGAUACACAAAGACACCAGCCACAGACCUAGCCUUUUAUUUGCCACCCCUUUUAUGCCCACAACAUAGUAGUGCCUGCAAAAUUGUUAACUAAAGUGUUUCUCUAAUGAGGGAGUGAGUGAGCACUCUUAUAUGAUGGCUUUCAAUAACCAAAAGGAAGCAAAUUUAGUACAAGGGUGCUUUGGUUAAACGACAUAGGAAACAGAUUCUGGUACUCGCCCACAAUAAAUUAUAAAUUGGCAGGGAACA